rnacentral:rRNA from 1 species
AUUGAACGCUGGCGGCAUGCCUUACACAUGCAAGUCGAACGGCAGCACGGGUGCUUGCACCUGGUGGCGAGUGGCGAACGGGUGAGUAAUACAUCGGAACAUGUCCUGUAGUGGGGGAUAGCCCGGCGAAAGCCGGAUUAAUACCGCAUACGAUCUACGGAUGAAAGCGGGGGACCUUCGGGCCUCGCGCUAUAGGGUUGGCCGAUGGCUGAUUAGCUAGUUGGUGGGGUAAAGGCCUACCAAGGCGACGAUCAGUAGCUGGUCUGAGAGGACGACCAGCCACACUGGGACUGAGACACGGCCCAGACUCCUACGGGAGGCAGCAGUGGGGAAUUUUGGACAAUGGGCGAAAGCCUGAUCCAGCAAUGCCGCGUGUGUGAAGAAGGCCUUCGGGUUGUAAAGCACUUUUGUCCGGAAAGAAAUCCUUGGCCCUAAUACGGUCGGGGGAUGACGGUACCGGAAGAAUAAGCACUGGCUAACUACGUG